UACGGAGGAUCCGAGCGUUAUCCGGAUUUAUUGGGUUUAAAGGGAGCGUAGGUGGAUAUAUAAGUCAGUUGUGAAAGUUUGCGGCUCAACCGUAAAAUUGCAGUUGAUACUGUAUAUCUUGAGUAUAGUAGAGGUGGGCGGAAUUCGUGGUGUAGCGGUGAAAUGCUUAGAUAUCACGAAGAACUCCGAUUGCGAAGGCAGCUCACUAGACUGUCACUGACACUGAGGCUCGAAAGUGUGGGUAUCAAACAGG
rnacentral:rRNA from 1 species